CCUUGGUCAUAAAAUUCUAAAAUCCUAGGGCACUAGGCUUGACAAAAUAAUUUUGCCAACUUCAUUUUAGUUUGCAUCACAUGACAAACACCUCUAGCAUCAUUACACCUAAAAUGAAAAGCUUACCAAGAUUUGAACACUAAACUUCUUGGGAAAGAGACUAACAACUGCUUGAGAUAUGCUUCAAUCAACAAGACUAUAGAAGUGCUCCUAGAAGUAACCUAAAAAAUAUGAAAUGUGACAAGUUUCUGAAUGUCGAUAAUAUAUGAUAGUGCACAUAUA
rnacentral:lncRNA from 1 species